rnacentral:rRNA from 1 species
GACGAACGCUGGCGGCGUGCUUAACACAUGCAAGUCGAACGGAAAGGCCCGGCUUUUGUGGGUUGCUCGAUUGGCGAACGGGUGAGUAACACGUGAGUAACCUGCCCUUGACUUUGGGAUAACUCCAGGAAACUGGGGCUAAUACCGGAUAGGAGCUCCUGCUCCAGGGUGGGGGUUGGAAAGUUUCGGCGGUUGGGGAUGGACUCGCGGCUUAUCAGCUUGUUGGGGGGGUAGUGGCUUACCAAGGCUUUGACGGGUAGCCGGCCUGAGAGGGUGACCGGCCACAUUGGGACUGAGAUACGGCCCAGACUCCUACGGGAGGCAGCAGUGGGGAAUAUUGCACAAUGGGCGGAAGCCUGAUGCAGCAACGCCGCGUGCGGGAUGACGGCCUUCGGGUUGUAAACCGCUUUCGCCUGUGACGAAGCGUGAGUGACGGUAAUGGGUAAAGAAGCACCGGCUAACUACGUG